AAAUUAAAGUAGCGAAGUUGCCGAUGUCACACUGCCGAGAAAAGCUUCUAGUGAGUAUUUAACUGCCCGUACCGCAAACCGACACAGGUAGUCGAGGAGAGAAUCCUAAGGUGAGCGAGUGAACUCUCGUUAAGGAACUCGGCAAAAUGACCCCGUAACUUCGGGAGAAGGGGUGCUGGUCGCAAGACCAGCCGCAGUGAAAAGGCCCAGGCGACUGUUUAUCAAAAACACAGGUUUCUGCAAAAUCGUAAGAUGAAGUAUAGGGGCUGACGCCUGCCCGGUGCUGGAAGGUUAAAAGGAAGAGUUAGCUUCGGCGAAGCCCUGAAUUGAAGCCCCAGUAAACGGCGGCCGUAACUAUAACGGUCCUAAGGUAGCGAAAUUCCUUGUCGGGUAAGUUCCGACCCGCACGAAAGGCGUAACGAUCUGGGCACUGUCUCAACGAGAGACUCGGUGAAAUUGAAUUGCCUGUGAAGAUGCAGGCUACCCGCGACAGGACGGAAAGACCCCAUGGAGCUUUACUGUAGCUUGAUAUUGAGUGUUUGUACUACUUGUACAGGAUAGGUAGGAGCCGUAGAAACCGGGACGCUAGUUUCGGUGGAGGCAUUGGUGGGAUACUACCCUUGUAUUAUGACCACUCUAACCCGCACCACUGAUCGUGGUGGGAGACAGUGUCAGGUGGGCAGUUUGACUGGGGCGGUCGCCUCCCAAAAGGUAACGGAGGCGCCCAAAGGUUCGCUCAGAAUGGUUGGAAAUCAUUCGCAGAGUGUAAAGGCACAAGCGAGCUUGACUGCGAGACAGACAGGUCGAGCAGGGACGAAAGUCGGGCUUAGUGAUCCGGUGGUUCCGCAUGGAAGGGCCAUCGCUCAACGGAUAAAAGCUACCCUGGGGAUAACAGGCUUAUCUCCCCCAAGAGUCCACAUCGACGGGGAGGUUUGGCACCUCGAUGUCGGCUCAUCGCAUCCUGGGGCUGUAGUCGGUCCCAAGGGUUGGGCUGUUCGCCCAUUAAAGCGGUACGCGAGCUGGGUUCAGAACGUCGUGAGACAGUUCGGUCCCUAUCCGUCGCGGGCGUAGGAAAUUUGAGAGGACCUGUCCUUAGUACGAGAGGACCGGGAUGGACAUACCGCUGGUGUACCAGUUGUUCCGCCAGGAGCAUCGCUGGGUAGCUAUGUAUGGAUGAGAUAAACGCUGAAAGCAUCUAAGUGUGAAACUCGCCUCAAGAUGAGAUUUCCCAUUCCUUUGGAAGUAAGACCCCACAGAGAUGAUGUGGUAGAUAGGAUGGAAGUGGAAGUGCGGUGACGCAUGGAGCGGACCAUUACUAAUCGGUCGAGGACUUAACCAAG
rnacentral:rRNA from 2 species